CUGGCCUGGAAUAUCUGGGCCCAGCACAGCACCUUUUCCGAGAAACGGCCGGAGUUCGGGGAAACAACCGUGGCAAUUCCAUGCAGAACGCCAAGCCGCCCUAUUCCCCCACUGGCUGAUACCUCCCGCCUGCCUCAUCUCGUUUCCCGAGCUCCUGUCCCGGCCCAGAGCUCGUCUGCAGCAGCUGCAGAGCCAGAGGGGGCCGGAGUUCCUGGAGUCUGCACUUGUGCUGCAGAUGCUGCUGCAGCGUCCUCGAGCAGCAGGGACAGGGCAGGACUGGCCCGGCACUGCCGUCCUGUGCCUGGAGAACCGCAGGGCCGGAACCAGCCGGGGUGGGUCUCUCUUCAUGGGCCAUUAAUCUUCAGUCUUUGUCAUUGCGAAACUCUUUCUGGGUCGGAACCCUGAAAGGCUUUUUCAGCACUGUUGAUGUCUCAGGAAACCAGUGUUUUUUAUUCCAAGCAAAGAGAGCUUAGGUAAAAACAAUGCUUAACAAUAGAACAAUAUAAGUUUAAUAAUUAAUAUGUAAGUUAUAUAACGAUAGAGUAUAAAAACAUGUUCAACUCAAAACCAAGAUGGGUGAGAUUUGGGUAUGUGUACCCCUGACACCCAGAGGUCUUCAAUAAAGCACCUGCAUAUAAUCAUUCCGUGAUUAUAUGUGUUCCUGAAUGAUAACAUUUUGGCGACCCCUGAUCUGCUGCUGAGCGAGUUCACUUCCCGAUCCUCCUCCAGCUGGCACCGAGGGAUUCUCGGGGAGCCCAUCUGCCUGUGACCAUCUUUGCUGCUCACAACAUCCCCAGGAGGGAAAGAAAAUAGGAAACUGACUUUGAGUGGGAAAAUGGAAGGAAAACUCAGCUCACCUGAACAUGACUCCCACAAGGAUACAAGAACAGUCCAACACUAUUUGGAAGCCAGCUGGCGAAAGAGCUGAGAAUGCACAAGUACCAGAGAACAAUACCUGCUGUUACAGUAUGUUGAUGAUACACUGACAACUACAGAAGAGAAAACAACCUGAAUAAAGGUAACAAUUGAAAUUUUAAAUCAGCUGGGAAUGAGUGGAUAUAAGGUGUCUAAAGAGAAGGCACAAAUUCCCCGACAAACUGUGAUUUACCUGAGAUGUGAAAUCUCACAAGGGCAACGUAAGCUUGGUACUAACUGUAUUCAAGCUAUUUGUGCUAAUCUACAACCCCAGAACCUGCAUGAGCUGCAAGAUUUCCUCAGGAUGACAGAGUGCUGCCUGUGGAUCACGGACUAUGGACUAAUUGCAAAACCCCUGUAUGAGGCCCAGAAGACACAGCUGUUUGCCUGGGGCAAGCCACAGAAGGAGGCCUUCCUCAAACUGAAGGAGGCAUUGAGGCUCCAGCGUUAAGACUGCCUGAUUCAUCCAAGGAUUUUGUUUGUGCAUGAAAGAUCACACCCAGCACUGGGAGUGCUGACCCAACAUUUGGGAAGCUGGAAAAGGCUGGUAGGCUGCUUUUCCAAACAACUUGACAACGUGAGUGCCGGAUGGCCUUCAUGCCUGUGGGCAGUUGCAGCCACCGUGAUGCUGAUCCAAGAAGCCAGGAAACUCACGAUGGGUAGACACACAGAUGUCUAUGUGCCACACAUGGUGACCACUGUUUUAGAACAAAAGGGGGGCCAUUGGCUAUCUCCAGGCAGGAUGAUAAAAUUCCAGGUAAUCCUGACUGGGCAGGAUGAUGUCACACUAAAGACAGCUAACCUUUUGAAUCCAGCUUUGUUCCUAGGUACCACAACUGAAGAAGGCCCAUUAGAGCAUGACUGUGUAGAAGUAAUAGAGUACACCUAUUCAGCAAGAAAAGACCUGAAAGACAUCCCACUGGAGCAGCCAGAGCGGGAACUAUUCACAGAUGGAAGCAGCUUCAUGGAGAACAGGACCAGAUACGCUGGAUAUGCGGUAACAACAGUCAGUACAAUAGUGGAGGCAAAAGCAUUAUCACCAAAUACAUCUGCCCAGAGGCAGAUGCAAAAACAUUGCCUUAACCAGAGCACUAGAAUUAAGUGAAGGGAAAAGGGUAAACAUAUGGACAGACUCAAAGUAUGCUUUUGGAGUAGUGCAUGUACACAGAGCACUGUGGAAAGAAAGAAGACUACUGUCUUCUCAAGGUAUGCACAUUAAACAUCAAAAUGCAGUCCUGCAAUUGAUAAAAGCAAUACAAAAACCUGAAGAAGUAGCAAUUAUACACUGUAAAGCACACCAAUCAAGAAACUCCAAAACUUCUGAAGAAAAUCAAAAAGCAGACGGGACAGCUCAACAGAUUGCUCAAAAAGUGCAAACUGCAAUGGCAUUGAUACCUUUAAAGACUAAUGUAUCUCAAUUCAAUUUGCCUCUAAAACCAAAAUAUUCAGUAGAAGAUGAGAAAUUGGGACAUUUGCUAAAUGCACAAAAGAAUUCAGAAGGGUGGUAUGUAACUGUACAAAGACAAAUAGUGUUACCCCCCUUGAUAAUGAGAGAUGUUUUACAAAUUAAACAUAACAAAUGUCAUUGGGGUACAGAGGCCCUGGUAAAAUUGCUAAAGCAAAAAUUAAUCUCGGUACGGAUGCUAACAAUGGCAAAAUCAACUCAGUGGCUAGACACAGGCAUAGCUAGAAAAGAUUAGGAUAGGAAUAGAAUCAGGAUGACACUUGGCAAGAACCCUCUAGUGAAGUGAAAUUUGGGUGAGACCUAGAGUCUUUGCUCAGUCCUUUAGCAAACUAUCAGAAUAGAGAAACAGGUCAGGUAGACAGACUAGCAAGAGUCAGCCAGGAAAGAUUUAAAGAACCAAACGUACAAUUACAAUUUACUACUCCUGAAAGAGCAUGGAGUGUGUGAGUUUCUUAAAGGGACGGAUUGAUCAUUGCUGCAUCCACAUCCCAAAUGUGACUGCAGAUGUAGAAUAUGACAUCAAUCACUUGCAACAAAUAAAGCACGGAGCACAGGAAGAGCAAAAGGAUUUGACUAUAAAUUGGUUAGGCAAAAUCUUCAAAGGGUUAGGGUGGAAUGCGAGUUCAUGGAUUAAAUCUAUCAUUGAGAGUGUGAUAAUCUUACUAACUGUAUUCUUAGCAAUUUAGUUAGUUUACAGCAUCUUAAAAAGAGAAAUACAGAGGAAAAUGUCCUGGACCCAGAAAAUAAUAAAGGCACUGACGCAAUAUCCACACCCACCAUCUUGUGGUUCUCCAAUUAGUGACUACAUCCAGGACAACGUUUACAUCAAUCAAGGAUUUGAAGAACACCAGGUAUAAACUCAGAAACAAAGGACUGUAUCAAGUGAAAACAUUUGCCCUUAUAGUGAAGUGAAAAUGCUUUCAAAGGGUGGAGUGAUAGUAAAAGGUCUUAAAAUCUUAGAAAAUUCAGGGACUUAGAAAGAAAGUUAGGUUUGGAAAGCCCUGGGAAAAGUAGGCUCUGGGAAAUGUUAGGCCUUGUGCUUGCUAAAGAUCAGGUGAAACUGCACUGUGUAAGCAGGAGAUGAUCAUGAUACAAUUGUUAGAUGUGAUUAGAUAUAAUUAUUGUUUAAAGAACAUGAGGAACAAUGUUAGGGGGCUGAGGGGAAUCACGAGAAAUCCAUGCUUAGGUAGAAAAAAUGCUUAACAAUAGAACAAUAUAAGUUUAAUAAUUAAUAUGUAAGUUAUAUAAUGAUAGAGUAUAAAAACAUGUUCAACCCAAAACCAAGUGGGGUCAGGUUUGGGUAUGUGUACCCCUGACACCCAGAGCUCUUCAAUAAAGCAAUUUCAUAUAAUCAUUCUGUGAUUAUGUGUGUUCCUGAACGCUAACAACCUCAGUGCCAGGUCUCCAGGAGAUGAACCUGCAGGAAGAGGACAUGAUGUGCAAGCUGAUGUGUGGCUGCCUGGGCUGGGGCUGGGGGUUUCUUUCUCCUUCUGGAGCCACUCCAGGACUUACCCUGUUUCUAUUGCACUGCACAUUUAUACAUUAACCUUUUAUGUCUAUCUUGAUAUAAUACUGUGUAUACUUCCAUGUGUACUUGGUCUUGGUUGGGGCAAGGUGCCAAUAAAGCCAAGGUUGGGAUUUGAGCCUGCAUGAGCCAAUCCCUUAGGAGCUGGCCUCAAUCCUUGUGUGUUCCUUCCAAUUCAGAACAUCCUGUGAGAUGUCCCUGUGUGAUCCCCAUCAGUAAUGAUGAUUCCAAUAUUGCCAAGAUCACGUUCACAUGGCAGUAUCUGCAGUGUCCUGGCAAGACAGACAUAAAAGGCUAGUGUAUAAACGUGCUGUGCAAGAGAAACACAUCAGCUUCCAUAUCAUGUUGUCUUCCUGCAGGUUCAUCUCCUGGAGACGAGGCACUGUUAUUUCCUGCAUUAUUUUCUUACUUUUUCAUUAAACACUUGUGCUUUCUGCCCUUUGUCCCUUGUGUUCAAUUGGUGCCGGCAGCCCCGUCCCUUCCCCUGUUCCCAGUCCCACAUUCUGUCCUGGCUGGCGGAGCCUUGGAGCUGCCAUGGGGGCCGUGGUGUAAGAAACAGUCCGAAGAUUCUCUCAUCCGUCUCACAACCGUCUCAAGGACAGAGACUGAGACCCUGAAUAUCACAAGGGACUGGGUUUAGGGGUUCAGGCCUAGCUGAGGUGGAUGUUUGCUAAGUGAUUGUUUGCAGGUGGUUGCACAGUACACUGCCCUCCUUCCUGCUGGUGAGCAGAGGCUUGUGCAUGGUACCCUGUGCAAUGGGUUUCCAUGACACAUUGCCCUCGUUCCUGCUGGUGAGCAAAGACUUGCAAGAUGUGGUUUGCUCUGUACCCUACACCUGAUCCCCGUGCUAUGGAAUUCAUCACAAUGAUCAUCAAUCUCCUCUGGUUUUGGCCCUGUGCCCCUCGCUUUAUAAAAGACUAUGAAACUAUACCCCAAACUUACUUUUCUUUGAGAUCUCCCCAACGGACAGAAGACUCUGCAUCGUUGGAUGGCUGAGUGGACUUCAACAUUGUUAGCUAUAAUCCCCUUAUUCUCUUUUUUUUCUUAUGCUUUGCUUUCUCCUCUUUUCCCUCUAUCGCAUGUUAGUGCUGAUGAGCACUCAAUAAAGUGUGUUUUGCUGCUUAA